rnacentral:rRNA from 1 species
AUUGAACGCUGGCGGCAUGCUUUACACAUGCAAGUCGGACGGCAGCACAGAGAAGCUUGCUUCUUGGGUGGCGAGUGGCGAACGGGUGAGUAAUAUAUCGGAACGUACCGAGUAAUGGGGGAUAACUAAUCGAAAGAUUAGCUAAUACCGCAUAUUCUCUGAGGAGGAAAGCAGGGGACCUUCGGGCCUUGCGUUAUUUGAGCGGCCGAUAUCUGAUUAGCUAGUUGGUGGGGUAAAGGCCUACCAAGGCGACGAUCAGUAGCGGGUCUGAGAGGAUGAUCCGCCACACUGGGACUGAGACACGGCCCAGACUCCUACGGGAGGCAGCAGUGGGGAAUUUUGGACAAUGGGCGCAAGCCUGAUCCAGCCAUGCCGCGUGUCUGAAGAAGGCCUUCGGGUUGUAAAGGACUUUUGCCAGGGAAGAAAAGGACAGGGUUAAUACCCCUGUCNGANGA